GCAUAUGUGACAAGGCAGGACCUGGUUAUGUCAUUGUGGCUAUAUAUUCCCAAAAUUGGGAAUUGUAUCAUACUCACAUUGGUUCCGGCUUGAGGGAGGUAGCUCCUCCUCAAGCGGUGUACUCCGGAGUGUAGACACCACGGGGAGAGUACCCCGACGAAGAUCCCUCGGGUGGUAGUGCCAAGUGCCUCCCGUGGUAGACGGGAUAUAUGGAUUGUGAGUUUGGGGUUAACAAGUGUUAACCGAGAUAAUUGGGUAAAGGCCAAAGUGAAUGUGUGAAAGCAUGCAUUAUGAGUUACGGAUUUGGUAAUCCAGUUGAGUGGAUUUAUGGCUGAGGUGCAUGUGAGACGUCCUUCACCUCGAGCCUGGAUGUAUGCGGUAUUCCUCAGAUGAUUGACUCGAGACCGAGUCGGGUGGUUAGCUUGGCUAGGGUCGAGGAAAACCUUAGGAGCAAAUAACCAAUGAUAUAAAGUGACAAGAUGUAUAAAUUAUGGAAAAGCUAUGGAUAGCAUGAUACAAAGUAAAAUCAUUUAUUCUACUUGUAUAGUUGCACGGUUUCAUAUUGCAUAUCGCGAGGUAUGACAUGUAGUUCAAUAUCGGGUAAAAGUAUAAAUAUCUGUAUUAUGUUAUUGGACUAACUUGUUGCAGUGCCUCAUUGGACCUAUUGGUCGAGCUUUUCUCUUGGGUGGCCGUACCCACUGGGAACCAUGGAGUUAGUUCUCACCACACGCUGUUUUGGGGUGUUACAGGUUCACACGUGAGCGGCGCGGCGGCGGGAAGCGAGGGCGUAACUCCGUAGUUAGCGCCCUUGUCACGCCCCGGAUGUCUCGUUCCCCGGGCACGCCGACAAAUCCGCCGUAUAUAAAAGAAUUUUCCCUGUAUACGAAGCGACAGUUGUACCUGUAGAUAUACAAUACUACAAAUAGUAGCAUAGAGCUGCUCAAAUAAACAAACGGAGUUUCAUAUACAUAGAUUAAAUCCAAAAUACAUAGUUACUCGCACUAGCGAGUUAAGUAAGCUAUGUACAUAAACUCAGACAAACAUCUACCUGCAGCAGAGGUGCCACUAGCUCUGUUAGUCAGGUAGGGCUCUAACUCGCGACACCCUUGCCUCGAUCCUGAUCCGCGGAAGGCGCAGCAGCCGAAACCUGUGGCUCUGCAAAACAAGAGUAACAACUGGGCAUGAGAACUACUGUAAAAACAAGUAGUUCUCAGUGGGUACCGCCCAAAACAACAUCGGUCACCCACUAAGUCUACAGAAGGGAGCAAGAAUAGUAGGAAAAGCAGGAAGUACACUCUACCGCUAUCAAUCACUACACUAUCAUGCUCUACACUAACCAACUGUAGGAAAUGUCAAAUCUGACCCAAUCCAAUCGGGACUGUAAGUAUACCCGUCCCCGGGACUGUGAAUACACCCGUCCCUGCCCCGUUGCGACUGUCGAGCUACCUCCACACUAACUGGUCUGUGGAGAGCAAGUCUAACUAGCAUGAGCGACACCAACGCGAAAGCACAAAGCCUGACUCCGGAGUGGCACUCGUGGGCGCUAUUCCACCAAGUAUGCUAGCGUAUCUCUGUCGAGCUCAAACAGGCUCUGAAAAGCCAAAGUCAAGUAACCGACUCUAACAAGUCUAAUAACUAACAGUUCACGUGCCCUCGGCACAAUCUGUCGCCAAAAAGACGAUCCGGGUCCACUGUCAAUUCUGACGGCACCCAACAGUCCGAAACAGCCUGAACGCUACUGUAAAAAUAUACUCGGCACCCCGGCACGAGCGUAACUGAAAGCUAAACUACCUGGAAUACUCACUAUGAGGAUACUGCUACAGUAUAAAAUAAUACCACGGCCCCUAGGGCUAAAUCAGGUAGUUUAAAUAUAUGACGAUCAUAAUCGCGAGUUUUCUCCUAAGUCUUAUCCAAGUCCAACAUGUAUAUUUAGGGUUUACUAAUCAUGUCCUCAAGCUAAUUUCAUUCAUUAUACAAUCGACGAAAUUAAGCUACCACAUGAUUUACAAAAACAGGAAAUCAUACAUGUCGACUGAAUAAACCGAUGUAACCC
rnacentral:lncRNA from 1 species